UUUAGGAAAGAUUCUUCGGAUGAUUUUCUAUUUGACUGAGCGGCGGACGGGUGAGUAACGCGUGGGUAACCUGCCUCAUACAGGGGGAUAACAGUUAGAAAUGACUGCUAAUACCGCAUAAGACCACAGCACCGCAUGGUGCAGGGGUAAAAACUCCGGUGGUAUGAGAUGGACCCGCGUCUGAUUAGUUAGUUGGUAAGGUAACGGCUUACCAAGGCGACGAUCAGUAGCCGGCUUGAGAGAGUGAACGGCCACAUUGGAACUGAGAGACGGUCCAAACUCC
rnacentral:rRNA from 1 species